GACGAACGCUGGCGGCGUGCUUAACACAUGCCAGUCGAACGGAAAGGCCCUGCUUUUGUGGGGUGCUCGAGUGGCGAACGGGUGAGUAACACGUGAGUAACCUGCCCUUGACUUUGGGAUAACUUCAGGAAACUGGGGCUAAUACCGGAUAGGAGCUCCUGCUGCAUGGUGGGGGUUGGAAAGUUUCGGCGGUUGGGGCUGGACUCGCGGCUUAUCAGCUUGUUGGUGGGGUAGUGGCUUACCAAGGCUUUGACGGGUAGCCGGCCUGGGAGGGUGACCGGCCACAAUGGGACUGAGGGACGGCCCAGACUCGUACGGGCGGCAGCAGUGGGGAAUAUGGCACAAUGGGCGGAAGCCUGAUGCAGCAACGCCGCGUGCGGGAUGACGGCCUUCGGGUUGUAAACCGCUUUCGCCUGUGACGAAGCGUGAGUGACGGUAAUGGGUAAAGAAGCACCGGCUAACUACGUG
rnacentral:rRNA from 1 species